rnacentral:rRNA from 1 species
GCAAGUCGAGCGAACAGAAGGGAGCUUGCUCCCGGAUGUUAGCGGCGGACGGGUGAGUAACACGUGGGUAACCUGCCUGUAAGACUGGGAUAACUCCGGGAAACCGGAGCUAAUACCGGAUAGUUCCUUGAACCGCAUGGUUCAAGGAUGAAAGACGGUUUCGGCUGUCACUUACAGAUGGACCCGCGGCGCAUUAGCUAGUUGGUGGGGUAAUGGCUCACCAAGGCGACGAUGCGUAGCCGACCUGAGAGGGUGAUCGGCCACACUGGGACUGAGACACGGCCCAGACUCCUACGGGAGGCAGCAGUAGGGAAUCUUCCGCAAUGGACGAAAGUCUGACGGAGCAACGCCGCGUGAGUGAUGAAGGUUUUCGGAUCGUAAAGCUCUGUUGUUAGGGAAGAACAAGUGCGAGAGUAACUGCUCGCACCUUGACGGUACCUAACCAGAAAGCCACGGCUAACUACGUGCCAGCAGCCGCGGUAAUACGUAGGUGGCAAGCGUUGUCCGGAAUUAUUGGGCGUAAAGGGCUCGCAGGCGGUUUCUUAAGUCUGAUGUGAAAGCCCCCGGCUCAACCGGGGAGGGUCAUUGGAAA